rnacentral:rRNA from 1 species
CAGUCGCCACGGUAAUGCGUAGGGUGCAAGCGUUAAUCGGAAUUACUGGGCGUAAAGCGUGCGCAGGCGGUUUGUUAAGACAGAUGUGAAAUCCCCGGGCUUAACCUGGGAACUGCAUUUGUGACUGGCAAGCUAGAGUCUGGCAGAGGGGGGUGGAAUUCCGCGUGUAGCAGUGAAAUGCGUAGAUAUGCGGAGGAACACCGAUGGCGAAGGCAGCCCCCUGGGCCAACACUGACGCUCAUGCACGAAAGCGUGGGGAGCAAACAGGAUUAGAUACCCCCGUAGUCCCUGUCUCUUAUAC